CAAGUCGAGCGGAACGAGUUAUCUGAACCUUCGGGGAACGAUAACGGCGUCGAGCGGCGGACGGGUGAGUAAUGCCUAGGAAAUUGCCCUGAUGUGGGGGAUAACCAUUGGAAACGAUGGCUAAUACCGCAUAAUGCCUACGGGCCAAAGAGGGGGACCUUCGGGCCUCUCGCGUCAGGAUAUGCCUAGGUGGGAUUAGCUAGUUGGUGAGGUAAGGGCUCACCAAGGCGACGAUCCCUAGCUGGUCUGAGAGGAUGAUCAGCCACACUGGAACUGAGACACGGUCCAGACUCCUACGGGAGGCAGCAGUGGGGAAUAUUGCACAAUGGGCGCAAGCCUGAUGCAGCCAUGCCGCGUGUGUGAAGAAGGCCUUCGGGUUGUAAAGCACUUUCAGUCGUGAGGAAGGUAGUGUAGUUAAUAGCUGCAUUAUUUGACGUUAGCGACAGAAGAAGCACCGGCUAACUCCGUGCCAGCAGC
rnacentral:rRNA from 2 species